AGCUCUGAGCUAGUGUUUAUUGGUUGUGUGGUUGCCUGGUAUCCACAGGAUUCUAUGUGGAUGGGCCCAAUGAUGAGCUGUUGUCAUGGCAGAUGUCUGAAUUCCAUGACACGCCCACCUUUUCUGGCUGCCUGGUUUAUGUAAAUAGUCUGUGGAACAGAGUGAGACAAAUUGCUCUUUGGGUGCCCUCUAGGUAGGCCCAGGGAUUAAAUUAAUGGGAACUAGACUUUUAAAAUUUUUAUUAUCAUUUUUUUUGAGACGGAGUCUUACUCUGUUGCCCAGACUGGAGUGCAGUGGCGCAAUCUUGGCUCACUGCCAUCUCCUCCAUCUCCCAGGUUGUUCAAGCAGUUCUCUUGCCUCAGCCUCCUGAGUAGCUGGGAUUACAGGUGUGCUAUCAUGCCCAGCUAAUUUUUGUAUUUUUAGUGGAGAUGAGUUAUCACCAUGUUGGCCAGGCUGGUCUUGAAUGCCUGACCUUGGGUGAUCUGCCCACCACCACCUCCCAAAGUGCUAGGAUUACAGGCAUGAGCCACUGCUCCCGGCUGAGAACUAAACUUUUUAAAGAAAUCAUAUUCUAUUUUUACUCUAGCAGCGUCACACCUCUUUGCUAGGUGGUUCAUCAUCUUUACUUAAACCAAGGUGUGCCAAGGGUCUUUUCUGGGCAGGAAAUAUCACUAGUCCACAACAUAUUUUAUCUUUUUUUUUUUUUUGACAAAAUAUGUAAUCGACUGGCAUAGCAGAAAGUCUGCAUUAAUUGUUUUUUGUUUGUUGUUUUCUAGUACUACUAUAAUUCCUUAACCCAGCAGUACCUUUACUGGGAUGGGGAAAAAGAGACCUACGUGCCAGCUGCAGAGUCUAGCUCCCACCAGCAGACGGGCCUGCCUCCUGUAAAAGAGGGGAAAGAGAAGAAGGAGAAACCCAAGAGCAAAACAGCCCAGCAGAUCGCCAAAGACAUGGAACGCUGGGCUAAAAGUUUGAAUAAGCAGAAAGAAAACUUUAAAAAUAGCUUUCAGCCUGUCAAUUCCUUGAGGGAAGAAGAAAGGAGAGAAUCUGCUGCAGCAGACGCUGGCUUUGCUCUCUUUGAGAAGAAGGUAAUAGCAGGAAUGGCCAGUACGUCAUGAUGGGAACUUACCUAAAACUUGAGUCUCAUGGCUUGUCCUCUGUUUCCCAGGGAGCCUUAGCUGAAAGGCAGCAGCUCAUCCCAGAAUUGGUGCGAAAUGGAGAUGAGGAGAAUCCCCUCAAAAGGGGUCUGGUUGCUGCUUACAGUGGUGACAGUGACAAUGAGGAGGAGCUGGUGGAGAGACUUGAGAGUGAGGAAGAAAAGCUAGCUGACUGGAAGAAGAUGGCCUGUCUGCUCUGCCGGCGUCAGUUCCCGAACAAAGAUGCCCUAGUCAGGCACCAGCAACUCUCAGACCUUCACAAGCAAAACAUGGACAUCUACCGACGAUCCAGGCUGAGCGA
rnacentral:sRNA from 1 species